AUCACAGAUCCCAGAGGGACAACCUGAGAGGAGGCCUGUGGAGACCAGAGCAUCCAGUCCAAUGGCUAGGCACAGAGGACCCUCUUCCAAAGUCAAGGACAGCUGAGGACUCCGCACAUGUUUUAAGAGGCUGUAAGUCAAUGAGUCUCAACUUCUGGAGAAGGCUUGGGAGACGACCUGGUUUUCCAGGCCCUGAGGGGGCCAGAAGGUAAGUAAACAGCGACGUUGGCUGGUGGGGGGAUGUGAAAGCCUGAGGACCUAGAGCCCCAGCCAAAGAGAGGUCCCCACAGCUAAAGAGAGGGCUCCAUGGUUACGCACGUUACCUCCUAAGGCAAAAGCAUCUCUUACAAUUAUUCAAGAGAAGCUGGAAAUUUAGACUUCAUGUAAAUGAUUCCAAUUUUUCAAUGUUGGCAAUUAACUCAAAGCACUUGAAAGUGAGGGCCAAAAAAAACAUGUCUCUUGGCUGAACUGAGAUGUGGCCUCAGAUGGAAUCCAACUCUCUUCGUUUUGCGGAAGAGGCCUGUGGGGGAGUGAAGUCCCUCGCCCGCCCUGGCUGGCUUGGGGAAGGGGCUGGGACCAGAAACAGUGUGCCUUCCCACCCCAUCCUCUUUCCCUGGCUUUUUGGUCCUGCUCGUAGCAGCAGACGAAGUGCAGACAAGCAGAGGAUGAGUCCCCACCCCAGCGCACGUGUCAGCCUGAUGGACGCAAGCAAUGAGAGAAGACCUGACCAACACACUUACACCCCCCUCCACUCAGUUCUGGCUGGAAUCUAGCUCUCGACCUUUUGAGGGUGGAUAUGAAGAAGAAAAGGAAAGCUUGGAAAUGUUAUCCUCAGUCUGUGGGAGGAAUGGGAAAGUCUGCAUUUUCUGGUAGAAUUUUUUUUUUGAAUUGCUAAUUAUAUAUGUGGCAUUGCUUGGGAAGAUCUUAUAAUGGGCUUCCCAGAAGGCAGCUUCAGGCUCACCAUACCCGGCUCCAUGGAUACUUUACACUGUGUGGCUUUGCCAAGAACUUAUGUUUCCCAAGUCACAAGAGGAAAUGAACCUGUUGGCUAAGAGCCUGGACUCUGGAGCCAGAUGGCCUGGGUUCAAAUCCACAUCCUGGAAAUUACCAGCCAUCUGGUCUUGGACAAAGCAUGGGACUUUGCUGUGCCUCCAUCUCCUCAUCCAUAGAAUGGGAACAGAAGCUGUACCUCUCUUAUAAGGUAGCUGCAAGGAUUCAAGGUGUGAAAAGGCAUAAAGCACACGGCAAGCACCCAGUAUGUCAGCUGUGCCAUGAAAGCUCCUGGAAGCUUGGGUCUCCACCAACCUCCACUGAGAUUUUGGGGGUUGGUGGAGAGGUGUGUCUGGGCAUCAGAGCUUGUCAAGUCUCCCCAGAUGACUUCAGUAUGGAGCCAAGAUGCAGAAUCUCUGAUGGAAGUCUUUAUUGAAUAAAUGAUGGUCCUCUUAGUGAUUAACUUGAGGGAUGUUUAAAUCAAUAGAAAUGCAUUGUCUCACAAUUAUGGAGACCCCAGAAGUACAAAAUCAAUUGUCAGCAGAACCACGAUCUCUCUGAAACCUCUAGGGAAGAACCCUUCCCUGCCUAAUCCUAGCUACAGCAGGGGCCAUGAAGCCUUACUGCUCUGUGGUUUGCAGCUUCAUCUCUUAGGGAUUGAUUUUUAAAGACACUAAAAUCCUCUCCCUCAUUUAAGCACCUAUUUUGUAACCUCUUUAUGAAAUUCCCCAAGUAGUCCUCUCUCAGGAGCAUUUAGCGCAGAUGGCCACAAUGUAAUGGGCCAAUUUGCAAAGAAGGUGAAAUGCCUCUGGGAGCUGCCAGUCUUUGCAUUCCUUUUCCACCUCUGCCCCAUCUUCAGGGUAUUCAGGCAACUCCUCAUCCAGCUGGGUGUGGAAGAUACACUGGCAAGAAACCUCAUAGGCAUGCAUUCUUUUUUUUUUUUUUUUUUUUUUAUGGCCACACCCAGAGCAUAUGAAGGUUCCUGGGCCAGUGAUACAAUUCGAGCCAUAGCUGAGGCAUAGGUCGCAGGUGUUGGCAACUCCAUAUCCUUAUAAUCCACUGUGUAGGACUGGGGAUCGAACCCACACCUCUGCGGCAAAUUGAGCCAUGGCAGUGGGAUUCUUAACCCACUGCACCCCAGCAGAAACUCCAUAGGCAUGAAUUUUUAAAAGAGAGAUCUGGGAGUUCCUGUAGUGGCUUAGCAGUUAACGAACCCAACUAGCAUCCCUGAGGACAUGGGUUCAAUCCCUGGCCUCGCUCAGUGGGUUAGGAUCUGGCGUUGCCAUGAGCUGUGGUGUAGGUCACAGACGAGGCUCGGAGCUGGUGUGGCUGUGGCUCUGGCGUAGGCCAGAAGCUACAGCUCCAAUUGGACCCCUAGCUGGGAACCUCCAUUUGCCAUGGGUGUAGCCCUAAAAAGACAAAAAAAAAAAAAAAUCUGUAAAUCUAAGUAAUCUCUAAUGAGAGGGAGAAGCCUGUGAAGGCCUGGGGUUGUGGGGGUAUAGACCAGGGAGCUGGGGGGCAUGUCUUUUCCCCCAUCUCUGAACCUAACCCAUUCCAGUGACCCAGGCCAAAGAGAGGGUGGGGCCCUCUAACAUGCUCUCCAGCAUCAAAAGAUGCACCUCUGAAAUUCUCAUCAGAGAUGCUGACAGAUUGACUCAGAAAUAGUGCUGGGAGAGCGAACAAUUAUCAACUGAGUGACAUCCUAAAAACGCAGUACGCUGUCAAAUGAAAAUGCAAUCAUUAUGACUUACUCUACCACGGGAGACUUGUUCGUAAGUGACCUGUCCUGACAUCCUUGGUGUUGUCUGUUAUCAGAAACUCUAAUGACCCUGGGCUGGGGUUGGGGCAGAUACUGAAGGGGAAUGUUUUGGUGUGACAGAACGUCUGCCCUGAAAUGGGAAAUUUGGUAGGGAAGCUUUUAAACCAACUGAAACCUUGAUUGAGGGGGUGGCAGCAUCUGUGGUUUGAAGCACAGAUUAACCAAAUUUCUCUGUACGUCUAGCUUUUUUUUUUUUUUUUUUAAGCACCUCCAUGUUUUCCCUGGGCUUGGUAUCUUAUUAGCAAGCACUCUCUUGCACACAUUUGUUCUCACGAUAGGAACCUGAAUCUGAAGACAACCGUGGUGAUUCCAGAAUGUGCCAGUAGAAAAAGGAGGAAGUUAAUUGACCAAAGGGUGAUGUAUUAUUUACACAUGUCCAAACAAAAGCCUCAUGAAUGUCUCUGGACUCCAGCCACUGGACUGUGGGGGUAGGCCCAGAGAGCCCUACACCACCAGCUGCCAGUACCCUUGAUACCUGGGCUAUCAGGAUUACUGGGAUUUUUCUGGGGUUAACAGAUGCAAAGUAUUGCCUUUGGAAUGGAUAAGCAAUGAGAUCCUGUUAUAUAGCACUGGGAACUAUAUCUCGUCACUUGUGAUGGAGCCUGAUGGAGGAUAAUGUGAGCAAAAGAAUGUAUAUGUGUAUAUGUAUGUGUGUGUGAGAGAGAGAGAGAGAGACUGGGUCACUUUGCUAUACAGUAGAAAAUUGAUAGAACACUGUAUACUAACUAUGUUGGAAAAAAUUAAAAUCAUUAAAAAAAUAAAUAAAGCUAUUACAAAACAAAAUUAAAAAAACGAUUUCUGGGAUUUCAGAGAAAAUGGCAAUUAUAAUAGCUAAUACUUGCACAGCGUUGAUUAUCUCCCCUAAGCCCUCUCCAUAAACUAACAGCUCCAGUCCUUGCAACAAUCCUAUGAGGUAGGUAACCAUAUUUGUCAAAUGAGGAAACUGAGACACAGAGAGGGUAAGCAACAUACCCAAAGUCACACAGCUAGGAUUGGCAGAGCUUGGACUAGGAUCCAGCCUGUCUAAUCCUAGCUACACUGCCUUUGCAGAGAGUUUAUAGUCUGGCACAAUAACACUGUGAUUAGACUGUGUGGCCAGGGACGCUAUUUCAAAAACCUGCUUCCUCUUCAGAAGUCCCUAAUUAGUACUGCUCCUCUGCCACCUCCCUCUCAGCUUUUCCAUGAGUGAGAAUAUCUAAGCUGAUUCCCAGGAGAAUCCUUACCUACCCUCAUCUCUCUCCCUGCCUUAUACUCAGAGGUCCUCCUUCUCUCCUGUUUCAGAAAACAAGAGUUCCUCCAACUCAAGACAAACAUGCCAGCUGUGCUUUAAAUCUCUUCUUCUGUCAUUUCUUUCUGGAGCAGCAACAUUUCUCAAGAUCUGUAUAUCGUCUCUCCCCCUCCUUCCCUAAUGCCCAUAAAGCAUCUCAAAAAGCUGGGAGCCAGAUUGUCUGCAGCUUGAAUCCUGGACCUGGACUUUUUCUCUGCGUGACUGGGGGCAAGUGAUUUAACCCCUCUGUGCCACUGGUAACAUGAAGAUAACAACGGUACCCAGCCAAUAGGAUUGCCAUGAAAAUUAAAAUGAGUUAAUCCGGAGUUCCCGUCAUGGCACAGUGGUUAACGAAUCCGACUAGGAACCAUGAGGUUGCGGGUUCGGACCCUGCCCUUGCUCAGUGGGUUAACGAUCCGGCGUUGCCGCUAGCUGUGGUGUAGGUCGUAGACGCGGCUCGGAUCCCGCGUUGCUGUGGCUCUGGCGUAGGCUGGUGGCUACAGCUCCGACUAGACCCCUAGCCUGGGAACCUCCAUAUGCCGCGGGAGCGGCCCAAGAAAUAGCAACAACAACAACAACAACAAAAAAGACAAAAAGACAAAAACAAAAACAAAAAAAAAAAAAAA
rnacentral:lncRNA from 1 species